CCUACGGGAGGCAGCAGUGAGGAAUAUUGGUCAAUGGCCGGAAGGCUGAACCAGCCAUGCCGCGUGAAGGUCGGUGCCCUAUGGGCGUUAAACUUCUUUUGUUCGGGAACAAUAAUGGUCACGUGUGGGCAGACGAGAGUACCGUACGAAUAAGCAUCGGCUAAAUCCGUGCCAGCCGCCGCGGUAAUACGGGGGAUGCAGGCGUUAUCCGGAUUUAUUGGGUUUAAAGGGGGCGUAGGCUGUGAGGUAAGUCAGCUGUGAAAUGCCUCCGAUCAACGGGGUGAAGUGCCAUUGAUACUGCCUUGCUGGAAUGCGGAUGACGUGGGAGGAAUGCGUGGUGUAGCGGUGAAAUGCAUAGAUAUCACACAGAACACCGAUUGCGAAGGCAUCUCACGAAUCCGCGAUUGACGCUGAUGCACGAAAGCGUGGGUAUCAAACAGGAUUAGAUACCCUAGUAGUC
rnacentral:rRNA from 1 species